AUGUUCACUUCAGAUGCAUAUAUACUAGAACUGGAACCAUGUGGAGAAGUUUAGCAUGUUCCCUGCAUUAAAGAUGACAUGCAAAUUUAGUAAGUGUACCAUAUUUUU
ensembl:snRNA U6 U6 spliceosomal RNA